rnacentral:rRNA from 1 species
GACAGAGGUGCCAAGCGUUAUGCGGAAUCACUGGGCUUAAAGCGUGUGUAGGGGGCUGCCUAAGUGCCGUGUGAAAUCCCACGGCUCAACCGUGGAAUUGCUUGGCAUACUGGGUGUCUUGAGCCACUUAGGGGUCGCUGGAACAAACGGUGGAGCGGUGAAAUGCGUAGAUAUCGUUUGGAACGCCAAUGGUGAAAACAGGCGACUGGGAGUGUGCUGACACUGAGACACGAAAGCCAGGGGAGCGAACGGG